ACAUGUCUUUUAGAUUAUAAUUUAAAGUCAGAUCUGCUCCAUGAAUUAAAUUUAAAUAGCUGCAGAAUUUUAACUGUACAAAGGUAGCAUAAUCAAUAGUUUUUUAAUUGAAAGCUGGUAUGAAAGAUUUGAUAAGGUAAUUAUUGUCUCAAUUUUAAUAAAAUUAAAAUUUUUUUUUCAGUAAAAAUACUGAAUUAAUUUUAAAAGACGAGAAGACCCUAUAGAUUUUUAUAUUUUUUAUAAAAAAAAAUUUAAAUUAAUUAAAAAUUUUUUUAUAAAAAAUAUUUGAUUGGGGAAAUUAUUAAAUUAAUAAAAUUUUAAUUUAAUUAAACAAUAAUUAUUGAAUAAAUGAACUUAUUUAAAAAUUAAAAGAAUAAAAUACCUUAGGGAUAACAGCGUUAUUUUUUUAGAGAGAUCUUAUUGAUAAAAAAGUUUGCGACCUCGAUGUUGAAUUAAGAUAAAAUUUUAAUGUAAAAGUUAAAAAUUUUUGGUCUGUUCGACCAUUAAAAUCUUACGUGA
rnacentral:rRNA from 1 species